AUUCUUUAUGGUACUGCCAUGUACUAUGGAUCUCCUCUGACUGUUAGUCCAAACCGUGAGAAACUGUAAACUUACCGCACAACACAUAACACGACCCUAAAGCCAAACAAAGUUGGUUUUGGAUCCACAACUUUCACUUCAAAUCCCAGAAUUCAAUCUAGCAUUGUCCUCUACACUUACAAGUUUGGUUUUUGAGCUUAAAGAUCUGUGUUUUGGUAAUGGAGAGCUCGGAGAAGGUGGUUGCUGUGAUCAUGGUGGGGGGACCCACUAAAGGGACCAGAUUUCGUCCUCUUUCCUUCAAUAUUCCCAAACCCCUCUUCCCUAUUGCUGGCCAGCCAAUGGUUCACCAUCCUAUUUCUGCUUGUAAAAGGAUACCCAAUUUGGCUCAAAUUUAUCUUAUUGGAUUCUAUGAGGAGCGAGAAUUCGCUCUAUAUGUCUCUUCAAUUUCAAAUGAGCUGAAAUUACCAGUAAGAUAUUUGAAGGAGGAUAAACCACAUGGUUCAGCAGGUGGCCUUUACUACUACAGAGAUAUUAUCAUGGAAGACAACCCAUCACAUAUCUUUCUAUUGAAUUGUGACGUGUGCUGCAGUUUUCCUCUACCAUCGAUGCUUGGUAAGUAUGUUGCUUUUAAGUCAUGGAAAUUAUUCAGAAGUAUGGUGCUACUAAAAUGUUUCUUGUUUCCUCUUGCAGAUGCCCAUAAAAGAUAUGGUGGGAUUGGGACAUUGUUGGUAAUCAAGGUUUCAGCUGAAUCUGCUAACCAGUUUGGUGAGUUGGUUGCUGAUUCAACCACUAAUGAACUGCUGCAUUAUACUGAGAAACCUGAGACAUUCGUUAGCGAUUUGAUAAAUUGUGGGGUCUAUAUUUUCACCCCUGAUAUUUUUACUGCCAUCCAAGAUGUAUCUAUGAACCGAGAAGGCAGAGCUAAUCUGCGUCAUGUCUCCAGCUUUGAAGCACUCCAAUCUGCCACAAGAACUAUUCCUACAGAUUUUGUAAGACUGGAUCAAGAUAUAUUAUCACCUCUAGCCGGAAAGAAGCAGCUGUAUACAUACGAGACAAUGGACUUCUGGGAGCAAAUUAAAACUCCAGGUUCCGGCAUACUUCACCCCAUCUUUUGGCCAGUGGAGAUGGUAAAAAGAAUUCCACCAUUGUUGGGGAUGUAUAUAUUCAUCCAUCUGCUAAAGUUCAUCCAUCUGCAAAGAUUGGUCCCAAUGUUUCUAUCUCAGCAAAUGUUCGUGUAGGUGCUGGUGUCAGGCUAAUCAGUUGUAUUGUCUUGGAUGAUGUUGAAAUUAAGGAAAAUGCUGUAGUUAUAAACUCUAUUGUUGGAUGGAAGUCAUCACUUGGAAGAUGGUCACGUGUGCAGGCUGAUGGUAACUACAAUGCAAAGCUUGGCAUAACCAUCCUAGGAGAAGCUGUAACAGUUGAAGAUGAGGUGGUAGUGAUUAACUGCAUUGUUCUUCCCAACAAGACUCUGCAUGUCAGUGUGCAAGAAGAAAUCAUCUUAUAAUCUGGAGAAGUGAGUUUUACCAGUUACUUACCAAAGAAGAAUGUUGAAGCACAUCGGUUUUCCAAUUUAUAUCUCAAAUUUGUUUUGAUCUAAUAGUGACAAAUUAAAGUUCAGGUCCAGGAACUAGGAAAAAUAUUCACUUUAAUACCAUCUCAUACAAGAAGGGCGUGGAAUUUUUUACAUAUAUAUGGGAUUGUGUACAAUUCAAUAUUCUUUUUUCUCUAUCUUUCCAAAUUUGUUUGAUGUCCACCACUGGACUUACAAAACUUAUUAGUGUAAAUCAAACUUUUGACCGAAACCUUGUACGCAAUAGCAUGCUAUAAUGCUAUAUAGAAUACCUUUUUUUUUUCACGUCUUUCGGGGAAUGCAAGGCGCACAUUGAUAC